CGCCCUGGGCCCGGAUUACCUGCGGGGAGUCUGCGUGGCGGCCGUCGGAUCCGCCGCCGGCCCUUGUGACUGGUUACCCAUUGUACUUCAAGCCGGAUGUGGUGGUCUGGUGCUUGCAUGCAAUGCCAUAAUGUGGACUUUCUUUGCCAAAGCCUUGAAAUACUCCUCCUCUUCAGCAACAGCAACUGUGACAUCAACCGCAUCCAACUUCGUCUCUUCUGCUGUUCUUGGUUAUUUGCUGUUUGGGGAGACUCAUGCCCUAUUAUGGUGGGUAGGGAUAUCCAUUACACUCUUUGGCCUUCUGCUUCUGCACACGGCCCCAGCUACAUCAGAAGAACAAAGGCAUCCAAAAGAAAAGAAAAUAUAAAAACGUAAAAGGUACCGUCUGGGACCAGACCAGUGGUCCAUUCUGUCCAGCACACAGGACCCAACCUGUUGCCCUGGACAGCCAACGAACAGAGCAUGGAGCCAAGGUUUUCCCCUCAUGUUGCCUCCUAAGGAGGUUUACUGCCUCUGGAUGUAGCUGUUCCCUUUGAUCUUCUUGGCUAGUAGCCAUUGAGGGACCUCUCAUCUGUCUAAUUCCCUUUCUAAUCCAUCUGUACCAGCAGCCAUCACUACAUGCACCAACAUGGAAUUCCACAGUUUAGUUACUUGUUGAGUGAAGAAGUAUUUCCUCCAAAAAAAGCCUCAAAGGACUUUCUGUUCAUGUCACGAACAGGGAA